rnacentral:lncRNA from 1 species
CUAUUUUUAGCCAUGGCGGCCAUCUUGAUUGGUUGGCCGGGUCACCGGACACAAUUUUUAAACUAGAUACCCUAAUAAUGAUUGUGGCCAAGUUUGGUAAAAAUUGGCCCAGUAGUUUCAGAGGAGAAGAUUUUUGUAAAAGUUAACGACGGACGACGACGACGACGACGACGGACGACGGACGAGGACGCCGACGCCGGACGCCGGACGCCGGACGCCAAGUGAUGAGAAAAGCUCACUUGGCCCUUUGGGCCAGGUGAGCUAAAAAAGAAUUU